rnacentral:rRNA from 1 species
UACGGAGGGUGCAAGCGUUAAUCGGAAUUACUGGGCGUAAAGCGCACGUAGGUGGUUUUGUAAGUCAGCUGUGAAAUCCCCGGGCUCAACCUGGGACUUGCAGUUGAAACUGGAAAGCUAGAGUAGGGUAGAGGGGUGUGGAAUUCCAGGUGUAGCGGUGAAAUGCGUAGAUAUCUGGAGGAACAUCAGUGGCGAAGGCGACACCCUGGACUCAUACUGACACUGAGGUGCGAAAGCGUGGGGAGCAAACAGG